rnacentral:rRNA from 1 species
UGGGGGAUAUUGCGCAAUGGGGGAAACCCUGACGCAGCAACGCCGCGUGAAGGAAGAAGGUCUUCGGAUUGUAAACUUUUUUGACGAGGGACGAAAAAAAUGACGGUACCUCGAAAACAAGCUCCGGGUAACUACGUGCCAGCAGCCGCGGUAAUACGUAGGGAGCGAGCGUUGUCCGGAAUUACUGGGUGUAAAGGGCGUGUAGGCGGGCUGUCAAGUCAGAUGUGAAAUUCCCGGGCUUAACCUGGGCGCUGCAUGUGAAACUGAUGGUCUUGAGUACUGGAGAGGAAAGCGGAAUUCCUAGUGUAGCGGUGAAAUGCGUAGAUAUUAGGAGGAACACCAGUGGCGAAGGCGGCUUUCUGGACAGUAACUGACGCUGAGGCGCGAAAGCGUGGGGAGCAAACA